rnacentral:rRNA from 1 species
CACUCCUACGGGAGGCAGCAGUGGGGAAUUUUGGACAAUGGGCGAAAGCCUGAUCCAGCAAUGCCGCGUGCAGGAUGAAGGCCUUCGGGUUGUAAACUGCUUUUGUACGGAACGAAAAAGCUCCUUCUAAUACAGGGGGCCCAUGACGGUACCGUAAGAAUAAGCACCGGCUAACUACGUGCCAGCAGCCGCGGUAAUACGUAGGGUGCGAGCGUUAAUCGGAAUUACUGGGCGUAAAGCGUGCGCAGGCGGUUAUGUAAGACAGAUGUGAAAUCCCCGGGCUCAACCUGGGAACUGCAUUUGUGACUGCAUGGCUAGAGUACGGUAGAGGGGGAUGGAAUUCCGCGUGUAGCAGUGAAAUGCGUAGAUAUGCGGAGGAACACCGAUGGCGAAGGCAAUCCCCUGGACCUGUACUGACGCUCAUGCACGAAAGCGUGGGGAGCAAACAGGAUUAGAAACCCCUGUAGUCCCAU